GAGAGAUAUUGUGUCUUCCUCGUAUAACCCUCCUCUGAAACGCCUCCGCCACCAACCACCGCCGGAGAAAACGUCAGCAUCUCCGGUGACUCUCAAAUUUACACCCUGAAACCGCCUCAAUGCCUUCAUCAUGAAUAUCCCACUAUCAUCUCUCGAAUCCCACUGGAGGGCGUCGAAUAAUUGAAAGAAUUGCCGCCGUCUCCGCCGUCCACGGUGGCGACACCUCGCAAACUGGCCCAAAUUCACACCACCCAGGCUCCCCGGUCUCCUCAUCAUUAAUCCAUCAACAACUGGCCUCAAGUCGUGACUGAAAUCCUCGAAAGUGCAAAAUUAAAAACAGUCAAGAACCCUAAGUCGUUCUAGUGGUUUCAAAAGAACAUGACAAGGUCGCCUUGCCUCCCUCAUAUGGAAUCCAAUGUCAAUCGCGUUCAAAUGUCAUCGGAAUUACUCAGGCGAUUAAAUUGAUAGGCGUCAGAAAUUUGAGUCAUAAAAGUGAGUUUCGCUUAAUUUUAAUCUUUGUUUGUUUCAUCGUUCCUACGUGCUUCUGAAUUAGGUUCGUGUCGAUGCUCCAUGGUUAAUUGAUAGUAUAAAUGUUAAUUUCGUCAUUAGUUUUAUUCAAAUGUUUAGGGCCUAGUUUUGAUUGUUCAUUUUAUUCGAAUUAAUUUAGUUCUUGCUUUUGAUAUUUUUUUGCCGUUACUUUCUGAUUUUGUGAAGUUCUGAUUGUUAGUAUGAUUAAUUGUGGUUUGGUAUUGGGUAAGUUGUUGAUCUGCUCUACAUUUAAUUUAGGCUAGGUUAAUUAGACGAUUGCUUUAAUACCUUAAUUUAGUGAACUUUAGGUUAAGAUCUGUUUAGGUUGUAAUUGGCUUUUGAUUAACGGAUUGGAUUAGUUACAUAGUAGUAAUUUCAAAUAAGUUCAGGGGCAGUUUUGGGUAAUUGAAUUCGGACCUGAAAGUGGUAGGUUAGAGUAGAAGGCCCUAGAAUCUUCUAGAAUAGGGCUCAAGUGUAGACUUCAGUAAUUGUAGUGCACUUACUUGAGAAACAAGUCAGAAAAUAGAGGGUUUAAACAAAAAUAAGCAAGGGACUAUGCUGUAAAUUGAAAAUCUAACUUGCACCUCAUCCUUGCCUAUAAAAGGGCAUUCCCAUGCCUUAAUCAACAAGUUUGGAGCCCCCAAAAUUUCCCCAAAAGAUCUCCAAGCUAAACAGAUCUGGAAAUUGAAAAAUUCUGAUCCAAAUCCUUUUAGAUCUUAGCUCCCUUCAUACAGAGAAAUCAAAAACAGUAGAAACUUUCAAAAAUCCAAAAAAAUAAACACAAAAUCAAAAAAAAAAUCCAAAAAUAUAUUGUUACAUUAGUUUUAUUCAAUCAGUUUCAGAUUUCAAGUGUCUAGCUCAUAUUAUGAUCAAAAUUACUUGAGCUCUUCUCUGGUUUCUGUGCAAUAGUGAUAAUUAAGAGCAGCUUCCAAUCAUGUAUUAGUGUUUAAUGGUUAUGAAUGAAGGACUAAGUUCAUUUUGGGUUGUUUGACGUUGUUGUGGUCUGAUUUGUUGAGUGUGUGGCUUUCCUGGUUGUUCCUGGGUAGUUUUGGUGUUGAUUUUGGUUCUAUUUGGUUUUUUGACAACUUUCUGGGCUGUUGGUUAUGCAGUACUGCUGAAUUGACUGUGUCAUUGUUGCUGCUGAUCUUCAUCUUCUAUUGCCAUUUCUACUUCCAUUGAUUCCCAAGUUGGAGGUGUUUUGUUUGUAUGAGCCAUCCUUGAAAAUACAUGAAUGAAGAAUUGGCUAUUGUUCAUUUGAACUCAUAUGAUUGACUGUUGAUAUACGAUCCAUAUGUUCAAGUUGUAGUCAAUUAUAUGAAUUGUCUUAAUGCAUUAGUUAUUUCAUUUGGGUUGUAAUGAAUUAGUAGACUGAAAUAAUUUGUUGUUUAGUAUUGUAAAGGCUGUCCCGACCGCUUUCAUGUCAACUAGUUGUUGUAGGCGAUAGAAUAAUUGCAUGCUGCUCAACAGAAUUAAGCAAUUAAUAGGUGUACUGUUAGUUUUGGGUUUGACUCCUAGCAUGAUUUAGUUAAUGAAUCCACAACAUCUUAGUAUAACAUUAAUUCAAAUAAACAAAUACUCAUUGUUACCUAAAUAGCAUGUUCGAACAGUAAUUUUCACUGAAUGAUCGCCAUUAAUUGCCCCUGCAUUAUCACUACAUCAAUUUGAAACUAUUGAACUUGAAAUUUAAUUGCCAGCCCAGGGAUUCGAACCCAGGGACCGCGUGGGAGUUGACUUCUCUGUUGGUGCGGAUGAGUGUUUCCAUUUGGGCCUAUUUUAGGAUCAUGACAGGCUCAAUUAGUUUCCUCAACCAAUCUUCAUCGGGCUGUUGUUUCCCUUCAUAGUGGGCUGAAAUUUUAUUGACUUGGACUCAAUUUGACAGCUCUCAUGUAUGAUCUAAACAACAAUAAAUUCGGGUUUGAGUUAGGUAGCGGGUUAAAGCUAAAAAGUAUUACUAUUUGCUUGAAUUCGGACUUGAACUCGAAGCCCGAUUUUUUAGUAUUAAUUAAUAAAGAUCCUUUCUUUUCUUUUA
rnacentral:lncRNA from 1 species